CCUACGGGUGGCUGCAGUGGGGAAUAUUGCACAAUGGGCGCAAGCCUGAUGCAGCCAUGCCGCGUGUGUGAAGAAGGCCUUCGGGUUGUAAAGCACUUUCAGCCGGGAGGAAGGCGGUGAGGUUAAUAACCUCAUCGAUUGACGUUACCCGCAGAAGAAGCACCGGCUAACUCCGUGCCAGCAGCCGCGGUAAUACGGAGGGUGCAAGCGUUAAUCGGAAUUACUGGGCGUAAAGCGCACGCAGGCGGUCUGUCAAGUCGGAUGUGAAAUCCCCGGGCUCAACCUGGGAACUGCAUUCGAAACUGGCAGGCUAGAGUCUUGUAGAGGGGGGUAGAAUUCCAGGUGUAGCGGUGAAAUGCGUAGAGAUCUGGAGGAAUACCGGUGGCGAAGGCGGCCCCCUGGACAAAGACUGACGCUCAGGUGCGAAAGCGUGGGGAGCAAACAGGAUUAGAUACCCUAGUAGUC
rnacentral:rRNA from 1 species